UCAGAACUGAAGCGGACAAGGGGAAUCCGACUGUUUAAUAAAACAUAGCUUUGUGAUGGAGUGAAAACUUGUUGACACAAAGUGAUUUCUGCCCAGUGCUUUGAAUGUGAAUAUGAAGUAAUUUGUAGAAGCUCAGGUAAACGGCGGGAGUAACUAUGACUCUCUUAAGGUAGCCAAAAUGCCUCGUCAUCUAAUUAGUGACGCGCAUGAAUGGAUUAAUGAGAUUCCCACUGUCCCUAUCUGCCAUCUAGCGAACCCACAGCCAAGGGAACGGGCUUGGAAUAAUCAGCGGGGAAAGAAGACCCUGUUGAGCUUGACUCUAGUCCGACUUUGUGAAAUGACUUUCGAGAUAUAGCCUAGGAGGGAGCUAACGCGCCGCUGUAAAACCUCUGCUCGCUUAGCCAUUUUACUUACUCCGUGAAGAAGUGACCAACUGUUGGUUCUUAGAUUUAAGCACCUAUAUCUUAGGUGCGAGCUUUGCGGAGGACAUGGUCAGGUGGGGAGUUUGACUGGGG
rnacentral:rRNA from 1 species